CCUCCCACUAGAACAAUGUUUCCGACCUAGUUUCCUCAACUGCCGGUAACUUAUCUGAUCGACAUUCUCUCUCUUAAGUUUCCUCAACUGCCGAUGGUUACUAGGAUUUUUAAAGAUGAUACUGAGCUUGAAACGUAUAUAACCUCUGCGCAUUAUGGUGUCUGUAGCGAAGUGAGGAACUGUUCGAAUCCAAAACUAAAAGGAGCAGUGGUAUUCCAUGAACAAGGACCUCUUGUCUAUGAUUAUAGCAUCCGCUUGAACCACACAUGGGCAUUGGCAGGAUUCCCUAGUGUCAAGUCGAUCAUGGACACGAAUGGACCUUAUAUCAACGAUCUGGA